rnacentral:misc_RNA from 1 species
GUAGGUGAACCUGCGGAAGGAUCAUUAUAGAAAAUGACGUGAACUCUUAACGGAGUUCUCUCAAAGUGUUGGAGGGGAAGGCCUGCGCUUAAUUGCGCGGCUGUUUUUAAUCUCCUCCGCCUUUGAUACACACAUUGGAGUUUCUACUUUUUUGUUCUCUUUGGGAGGGUUCUGCUCUCCCAGAGGUAAACACAAACAAUCUUUUAUUAUACUAUUAACACAGUCAAAUGAAUUUUAAAAACAAAAUAUUCAAAACUUUCAACAACGGAUCUCUUGGUUCUC